UACGAAGGGGGCUAGCGUUGUUCGGAAUCACUGGGCGUAAAGCGCACGUAGGCGGAUGUGCCAGUCAGGGGUGAAAUCCCGGAGCUCAACUCCGGAACUGCCUCUGAUACAGCACGUCUUGAGUUCGAGAGAGGUGGGUGGAAUUCCUAGUGUAGAGGUGAAAUUCGUAGAUAUUAGGAAGAACACCGGUGGCGAAGGCGGCCUGCUGGGCAGUUUGGCUGACACUGAGGCGCGACAGCGUGGGGAGCAAACAGG
rnacentral:rRNA from 1 species